ACAGCGGGGUGAUGUCCGCCUCUGGUGGGAAUGAGACGGCCUUGCUCGGAAGUUUCGCCCGAAAGCAGGUGAAGUACGGUAGCACCUGCAAGUAUGUCUCACGCAGCAGCAAGACAAUUAAGCACGUCGUACAGCCGGGCGACACGCUGCAGGGCAUUGCGCUGCGCUACGGAGUCACGACAGAAGAGCUGAAGCGUGCUACCGCCUCUGGACGAGUGACAGCUUAUUUUUGCGGACAUGGCUGGCAGUGCCUGUGGUAGAAACAGGGCCGCAGUGGGUGGUGCCUCGGCCUCAGGAGGUGGAGACACCAACGGUGCGGACGGUGCAGGCCCUGAGAACUCACCUCUGCAGUCUGACGAGAGUUUCACCGAUUUCCUCGGCCCGCAUACAAUUCCAUCGCCAAGUCUCGCAACCAGUUGAGACAACUUUCACACACAAGGUUUGAUGAUUGUGGUGUUGAGGAGCCUACAGCUGGUGUUGCAGCACGAGACUCAGCACCAGCACCUGUGGUGAUGACCCGGCAGGUGAAGCACUCACUCCAGAGGCACGAGCGAGACCAUGAGGAGAUCUUCCAGCUCUAGCAGUGCUCCCCUACUCAGCCAAGGACCUGUGUGUGUGCUCAUGUGUGUGUGAACCCUACUGCCCAAGAUGGCAGGUACUACUGCUCCUGUUUAUGUGAAAAAGCUGUCAAGGUAUGACAGUUUCUUUAUUAUUGACAUGUUGUGGCAGUGGCUGGCCCUUGCCAUUACCUCUGCCAAUGCCACUACUCCUGCAAUAGACGAGCACAUUGCAAUUUUUUUGCCUGUCUUGAAGGAAAGUAAUGACAUUACCUCACCAGAAAUGGCACGAGCCAACAUUGGAACAUCGGUGACUGGAAAUGUGAGUUUGCUGAAUGCCUGCAUGAAAUUAGAAAAGCUCCAAUUUGGAACACAAUGAUCUUUCACGGUACAGCUUUUGUCAAAGGAAACUAAGCCACUUUGUGCACAACUGCUGCUUGACACUUGGGUGUCCAGUUGGCCACGUGUUUCAUUGACACUACGCAAAGCUUUCAGACUAGCUGCUCACCCCAUGAGCUUCUAGAGUAUAGAGUUUUGCACAAUUGCGUGGUGGUGCAGCAAAAACACAGCUAUGAUCUUGCUGCCAGUAGUUUCAUUUGAUAGACGCUGUGCAUUUAUUCAUUGCUCACAAAAGACCUAUCUGCUUUUGUGGCAAGAGAUACUA